AAGUCGUAACAAGGUUUCCGUAGGUGAACCUGCGGAAGGAUCAUUAAAAAAAUAUUAUACAUCUCUUCUAGGAUUAAACACUAAAUGUUAUAUUUCAAUAAGUUUAAAAUAAAAAAACUUUCAACAACGGAUCUCUUGGUUCUC
rnacentral:misc_RNA from 1 species